rnacentral:snRNA from 1 species
ACACUUACUUGGACGGGGUCUAUGGCUGAUCAUGAAGAGUCAUGAACCAGGCUAGUGGCCCAAAUUGCACUUUGUGGGUGUGCUGGCCUAUCAUCUUUCCUUUGAGGGAGAGUGGACAUCAUAAUUUGUUAUAGAGGGGUACGCGUUCACGUGGCCCCUGU